ACAGACACUUUCAGGACUCAGUCAUUCCACUCCUAGAAAGGUACACAACAAAAAUGCCUACAUAUUUUCACCAGAAGACAUGAAACAGAAUAUUUAUAGCCGAACAAUUUGUUAUAAGCCCGAACAGAGAGCAACCUAAACGCCAGUCAACAGAAGAAUAGAUGAAUAAAUGGAAGACCGUCAGCAAUGAAAAUGACCCAUAUGCAACUACAUACAACAAUGUGGAUUAAUUUCACUAGCAUAAUGUUGAGAGAAAGAUACCAGAUCCAAAAGUGUUCCUACUGGGCUUCUGGAGGAAUUUUAGU
rnacentral:lncRNA from 1 species